UACGAAGGUCCCAAGCGUUAUCCGGAUUUAUUGGGUUUAAAGGGUGCGUAGGCGGGUUGUUAAGUCAGUGGUGAAAGCUCCGAGCCCAACUCGGAAACUGCCAUUGAUACUGAUGAUCUUGAGUACAUUUGAGGUGGGCGGAAUGUGUCAUGUAGCGGUGAAAUGCUUAGAGAUGACACAAAACACCGAUUGCGAAGGCAGCUCACUAAACUGUAACUGACGCUGAGGCACGAAAGCGUGGGGAGCAAACAGG
rnacentral:rRNA from 1 species